GACGAACGCUGGCGGCGUGCUUAACACAUGCAAGUCGAACGGUGAACUCCGCUUGCGGGGGGAUCAGUGGCGAACGGGUGAGUAACACGUGGGCAACCUGCCCUCAGCUCUCGGAUAACUCAAAGAAAUUGGGGCUAAUACCGGCCAUGACCGCUGACCGCCUGGUCUGUGGGUGGAAAGAUUUAUCGGCUGGGGAUGGGCCCGCGGCCUAUCAGCUUGUUGGUGGGGUAGUGGCCUACCAAGGCGACGACGGGUAGCCGGCCUGAGAGGGUGACCGGCCACACUGGGACUGAGACACGGCCCAGACUCCUACGGGAGGCAGCAGUGGGGAAUAUUGCGCAAUGGGCGAAAGCCUGACGCAGCGACGCCGCGUGGGGGAUGACGGCCUUCGGGUUGUAAACCUCUUUCGGCAGGGACGAAGCGAAAGUGACGGUACCUGCAGAAGAAGCACCGGCCAACUACGUG
rnacentral:rRNA from 1 species